rnacentral:misc_RNA from 1 species
GAUGAAGAACGCAGCGAAACGCGAUAAGUAAUGUGAAUUGCAGAAUCCAGUGAAUCAUCGAAUCUUUUAACGCACAUUGCGCCCGCCAGCAUUCUGGCGGGCAUGCCUGUUCGAGCGUCAUUUCAACCCUCGACCUCCCCUUGGGGAGGUCGGCGUUGGGGACCGGCAGCACACCGCCGGCCCUGAAAUGGAGUGGCGGCCCGUCCGCGGCGACCUCUGCGCAGUAAUACAGCUCGCACCGGGACCCCGACGCGGCCACGCCGUAAAACACCCAACUUCUGAACGUUGACCUCGAAUCAGGUAGGACUACCCGCUGAACUUAAGCAUAUCAAUAAGCGGAGGA